UCCCAGAGCCGGGAAAGAACCCAGGAGUCCGGGCUCCCGCCCCGCCUCCCGAGCCGGCAGUAAGUGGGUCGCUCUGUACAUUCCUCUCCGCCAUGUGGGGUUUUCCCAGGGGGGCGGGUUCUUUCCGCCUCCUCGCCCAGCGGUAAGAGUCGGUGCCAGGUUUGCGUUUGCGGCUCCCCGCGGCCCGAUGCGGGGGGGGGGGGUUCAUCUUUAACCCUUCAGGGGUCUCCCCCCUCCCGGCUGCUGCCCCGUGGAGGACAAGGGGGAGGCGAGAGCGAAGCAGCAGCUCGGACCUUCCCCGCCCCACGCUUCCUGUUCUGCCAGCACCUGCCGCCUGGAAUUUGGCCUCCCUCCAGGCGCCGUCUGCCGGCAGCCAGCUCUGCCUUUCUAAGCUGCCCGGGACUCUGCUCCCCUUCUCGCACCCUGUGACAAACCGGGUCACGGCUGUUUUGCUCGACAGAUGGCCCCGGCGGCGCGGACCGAUCCGGCUCAAUGGAAGGAGCAACUAAGUGCACCACGUGUGCAGCGAGAGAUGACACCGCGGAAAGCCACCGCCCAAGGUGCUAAGCCCUGCGGCUGGAGGGGUUUCCCUGGGACCGAUGCUUAAGGGCAUGGGCUGAGGGAUCGACGGGUCGCCGCUGUGUGUGAGGCACAGAGAGCGAUGGAGGCACAGAAAGCCAGAGAGGCAGGCGGGGUGCGGGUCACCCGGAGAGGAAGUCACGAGACGGAGCUCCUUGGGGCACAGGACCGGCCGGAGAAGCGGGCCGGGGAAUUUCUGCGCCAGGAAGCCAGCUGCGGCUGUCGGUCUCUGCCGCGGCCAGGGAGGCGGGCCGGUGUUGGCCGUUCAUGGUAAAAUAAACGGGUUGGCGCCAAAGAA